ensembl:lncRNA
GAAGGACUUUAUUAUUUUGUGGAUUGUACUGUUUAUAUAGCAAAUUCACAUUUGUAUAAUACAGUGAACAUAUUAGUAAAUACAAGGAACAUUCAGUAUUUCUCACUUCUGUACAUCUUGGCGCAUUAAGAAUCCGUCUUGUUUCACUAUGGACCACAUCAUCAGGGCUUGGUGACACAUCUCCAUCAAUUUAUUUUCAUAUAUUUUCAACAAUCCCUUCACUGUCAAACUCCCACCUCUUCCUCUGACCAAACAGUAUGCGGCCAAGUGCGAGGUUAAGUUGAAUAUAAGCCUUCAUUGGUAUUUUAUUGUACUUACUAGGUGUGCUGCUUCACAACUAUACAAAACUAUGCAGCUGUCCUCUAAUAAAAAUAAAAAUAAAGAAAUUAAGUGAAUACUGUUGGAAUACUGUUUGGGGGGAAACAAUUCUGUCCUCAGUUCAGUUUUCAUAUCAUAUUAGCACAUUCCUCGUCAGUGUCUGUAGGGGAAACCAACUUUGUUGUUACAGUCAUGGCUAUACACUGGGUGUACAAAACAUUAGACGCCUGACUCAACCUUGUCUGACAUAUGCUCUCCCCACACAAACUGACCCGUCUCCUGAGAACCACUGCAGUGAGAGAGAGUGAGAGUAAAAAUAUGUCAGGAAAUGUCAUAGACAGAGUUUAAUUGGAGUUGAAUAGCUUUUACAUCGUAGUGUUGCAUUCAAGGUAACAGUCCAAGACUGCUGCUGUAUCAAAAGAGGCAACUAUGGAUAAUAAUUUAGCCAAAUAAGUGAUAACAUGUGGGACUGAGCCGAGCUGUACCAAUCCACGCCACCCGUCAGUCAGUAUGGCUCAGUAUUGAACAGCCUGCUGUCAUUUCAUGCCCAACCCUCGUAGUGGAGAGCUAUCAUCCUAUAGGUUUUCAUUUCAUCCCUUACCUAACCUACUUGUACACAUUCAGUACAUACACUGAGAAUACAAAACAUAAAAAAUACCUGCUCUUUCCAUGACAUAGACUGACCAGGUGAAUCCAGGUGAAAGCUAUGAUCCCUUAUUGAUGUCACUUGUUAUAUCCACUUCAAUCGGUGUAGAUGAAGGGGAGGAGACAGGUUAAAGAAUGAUUUUUAAGCCUUGAGACAACUGAGACAUGGAUUGUGUAUGUGUGCCAUUCAGAGGGUGAACGGGCAAGACAACAGAUUUAAGUGUCUUUGAACGGGGUAUGGUAGUAGGUGCCAGGCGGACCAGUUUGAGUGUGUCAAGAACUGCAACGCUGCUGUUUUUUUUAUGUUCAACAGUUUCCCGUGUGUAUCAACAAUGGUCCACCACCCAAAGGACAUCCAGCCAACUUGACAACUGUGGGAAUCAUUGAGAGUCAACAUUGGCCAGCAUCCCUGUGGAACGCUUUCGACACCUUGUAGGAUCCAUACCCUCAUGAAUUGUGGCUGUUCUCAGGGCAAAAGGUGGUGUAACUCAAUAUUAGGAGGGUGUUCCUAAUGUUCUGUUCC